GAUGAACGCUAGCGGCAGGCUUAAUACAUGCAAGUCGAGGGGCAGCAUGAAUGUAGCAAUACAUUUGAUGGCGACCGGCAAACGGGUGCGGAACACGUACACAACCUUCCUAUAAGUGGGGAAUAGCCCAGAGAAAUUUGGAUUAAUACCCCGUAACAUAAUGAUGUGGCAUCACAUUAUUAUUAUAGCUACGGCGCUUAUUGAUGGGUGUGCGGCUGAUUAGAUAGUUGGCGGGGUAACGGCCCACCAAGUCUACGAUCAGUAGCUGAUGUGAGAGCAUGAUCAGCCACACGGGCACUGAGACACGGGCCCGACUCCUACGGGAGGCAGCAGUAAGGAAUAUUGGUCAAUGACGCAAGUCUGAACCAGCCAUGCCGCGUGAAGGAUUAAGGUCCUCUGGAUUGUAACUUCUUUUAUCUGGGACGAAAAAAGGCUAUUCUUAGUCACUUGACGGUACCAGAUGAAUAAGCACCGGCUAACUCCGUGCCAGCCGCCGCUGUAAUAC
rnacentral:rRNA from 1 species